rnacentral:rRNA from 1 species
CUCCNCCUGGGGAGUACGACCGCAAGGUUGAAACUCAAAGGAAUUGACGGGGGCCCGCACAAGCGGNGGAGCAUGUGGUUUAAUUCGAAGCAACGCGAAGAACCUUACCAGGUCUUGACAUCCCUCUGACCGCUCUAGAGAUAGAGUUUUCCUUCGGGACAGCGGUGACAGGUGGUGCAUGGUUGUCGUCAGCUCGUGUCGUGAGAUGUUGGGUUAAGUCCCGCAACGAGCGCAACCCCUAUUGUUAGUUGCCACCAUUCAGUUGGGCACUCUAGCGAGACUGCCGGUAAUAAACCGGAGGAAGGUGGGGAUGACGUCAAAUCAUCUUGCCCCUUAUGACCUGGGCUACACACGUGCUACAAUGGCUGGUACAACGAGUCGCAAGCCGGUGACGGCAAGCUAAUCUCUUAAAGCCAGUCUCAGUUCGGAUUGUAGGCUGCAACUCGCCUACAUGAAGUCGGAAUCGCUAGUAAUCGCGGAUCAGCACGCCGCGGUGAAUACGUUCCCGGGCCUUGUACACACCGCCCGUCACACCACGAGAGUUUGUAACACCCGAAGUCGGUGAGGUANCCUUUUAGGAGCCA